GCAGGUAUUUCUAGAAUUUCCUUUCCAGAAGCAGCAGAGGAUGAAUAACAAAUGGACAGAAAAAUUCUGUUCUCGUAAGCCAAGGGGCUUAAAAGUUUUGUGUCUGCUUGAAGAAGUCAAGAAGCUACACCAGAAUGUGCUUUGAGGCCUCUUUCUCCUUUGCCAUGUACCUUGAACCACUGAAGGUGCCCAAACGUGCCAGCCUGGAAGAAGGACUGGGACAAAGAGCCUUCUUACUUAACCCAGGGAAAGAAGAAAUUAAAGAAGGUGCUGAGCUGGUGUCAGUGUACCAGGGGAGCUCUGUCAGAAUGUUCCUGACAGUUGUGCUG
rnacentral:lncRNA from 12 species